rnacentral:rRNA from 1 species
AGUGAACGCUGGCGGUAGGCCUAACACAUGCAAGUCGAACGGCAGCACAGUAAGAGCUUGCUCUUACGGGUGGCGAGUGGCGGACGGGUGAGGAAUACAUCGGAAUCUACUUUUUCGUGGGGGAUAACGUAGGGAAACUUACGCUAAUACCGCAUACGACCUACGGGUGAAAGCAGGGGAUCUUCGGACCUUGCGCGAUUGAAUGAGCCGAUGUCGGAUUAGCUAGUUGGCGGGGUAAAGGCCCACCAAGGCGACGAUCCGUAGCUGGUCUGAGAGGAUGAUCAGCCACACUGGAACUGAGACACGGUCCAGACUCCUACGGGAGGCAGCAGUGGGGAAUAUUGGACAAUGGGCGCAAGCCUGAUCCAGCCAUACCGCGUGGGUGAAGAAGGCCUUCGGGUUGUAAAGCCCUUUUGUUGGGAAAGAAAAGCAGCAGGUUAAUACCCCGCCGUUCUGACGAUACCCAAAGAAUAAGCACCGGCUAACUUCGU